ACCAACUGACAAGUCCCAAAUAGGACUAAACGUACGUCUUGGAU
rnacentral:hammerhead_ribozyme from 1 species